UUGAUUGAUACCAUGCUUCCAAGAAAAGCCUCUAAGCUUCAGUUACCAGGAGACCGUACCGCAAACCGACACGGGUGGGCAGGAUGAAAAUUAUAAGGCGCUUGAGAGAACUCAGGAGAAGGAACUCGGCAAAUUUGCACCGUAACUUCGGGAAAAGGUGCGCCCUGAUAGGUUGUAGCCCCUCGCGGGUGAAGGCUGAAAGGGUUGCAGUGAAAUGGUGGCUGCGACUGUUUAAUAAAAACACAGCACUCUGCAAACACGAAAGUGGACGUAUAGGGUGUGACGCCUGCCCGGUGCCGGAAGGUUAAGUGAUGGGGUGCAAGCUCUUGAUCGAAGCCCCGGUAAACGGCGGCCGUAACAAUAACGGUCCUAAGGUAGCGAAAUUCCUUGUCGGGUAAGUUCCGACCUGCACGAAUGGCGUAACGAUGGCCACACUGUCUCCUCCUGAGACUCAGCGAAGUUGAAAUGGUUGUGAAGAUGCAAUCUCCCCGCGGUUAGACGGAAAGACCCCACGAACCUUUACUGUAGCUUUGCAUUGGACUUUGAACCGACUUGUGUAGGAUAGGUGGGAGGCAGUGAAGCCGGACGCUAGUUCUGGUGGAGCCAACCUUGAAAUACCACCCUGGUUUGUUUGAGGUUCUAACCACGGCCCGUGAAUCCGGGCCUGGGACCGUGCAUGGUAGGCAGUUUGACUGGGGCGGUCUCCUCCUAAAGUGUAACGGAGGAGUACGAAGGUACGCUAGGUACGGUCGGACAUCGUGCUAAUAGUGCAAUGGCAAAAGUGUGCUUGACUGCGAGACCCACACGUCGAGCAGGUACGAAAGUAGGUCAUAGUGAUCCGGUGGUUCUGUAUGGAAGGGCCAUCGCUCAACGGAUAAAAGGUACUCUGGGGAUAACAGGCUAAUACCGCCCAAGAGUUCAUAUCGACGGCGGUGUUUGGCACCUCGAUGUCGGCUCAUCACAUCCUGGGGCUGUAGUCGGUCCCAAGGGUAUGGCUGUUCGCCAUUUAAAGUGGUACGUGAGCUGGGUUUAAAACGUCGUGAGACAGUUUGGUCCCCAUCUGCCGUGGGCGCUGGAAAUUUGAAGGGGGCUGCUCCUAGUACGAGAGGACCGGAGUGGACGAACCUCUGGUGUACCGGUUAUGACGCCAGUCGUAUUGCCGGGUAGCUAAGUUCGGAAGAGAUAAACGCUGAAAGCAUCUAAGCGUGAAACUCGCCUUAAGAUGAGAUUUCCCUGGGGACUUGAUCCCCCUGAAGGGUCAUGGUAGACCACCACGUUGAUAGGCUGGGUGUGGAAGCGCAGCAAUGCGUUAAGCUAACCAGUACUAAUUGCC
rnacentral:rRNA from 1 species